AUGGGGAUGAGGCCGUGCCAAAGUCAGGAGGAGCCCCCCGGGGGCUCCCUGCGCCUCCUCUGCCGAGGCUCUGGGUUCGAUUUUGGGAAAUUUGGGAUGGUCUGGAUCCGCCAGAGGCCCAGGCAGGGGCUGGAAUUCGUGGCCAGUAUCUACAGCAAUGGUGGCAGCACCGUGUACGCGGAUUCCCUCAAGGGCCGGUUCAGGAUCUCCAGGGACAACGGGCAGAGCUCGGUGACGCUGACCAUGAACAGCCUCAAGGACGAGGAUUCCGGCUCCUAUUUCUGCGCCAAGUGUUCUGAUGCUGGUUGGGCUGAUGCUGUUGCUUAUAAUAUUGACCCCGUCCCCGUGUCCCCUCCUGUCCCCGUGUCCCAGCUCUGA